rnacentral:rRNA from 1 species
GUGUCAGCAGCCGCGGUAAUACGAAGGGGGCAAGCGUUGUUCGGAAUCAUUGGGCGUAAAGCGUAUGUAGGCGGCCAAAUAAGUCAGGCGUGCAAGCCCAUGGCUCAACCAUGGAAUUGCGUUUGAAACUAUUUGGCUUGAGUGCAGGAGAGGAAGGCGGAAUUCCCAGUGUAGCGGUGAAAUGCGUUGAUAUUGGGAAGAACACCGGUGGCGAAGGCGGCCUUCUGGCCUGCUACUGACGCUGAGAUACGAAAGCCAGGGGAGCGAACGGGAUUAGAUACCCCGGUAGUCCUGGCCGUAAACGAUGGGCACUAGGUGUAGGGGGUAUCGAUCCCCUCUGUGCCGCAGCUAACGCAUUAAGUGCCCCGCCUGGGAAGUACGGUCGCAAGGCUGAAACUUAAAUGAAUUGACGGGG